AACGAACGCUGGCGGCAUGCCUAACACAUGCAAGUCGAACGAGACCUUCGGGUCUAGUGGCGCACGGGUGCGUAACGCGUGGGAACCUGCCCUUAGGUUCGGAAUAACUCCCCGAAAGGGGUGCUAAUACCGGAUAAUGUCUUCGGACCAAAGAUUUAUCGCCUUUGGAUGGGCCCGCGUUGGAUUAGCUAGUUGGUAGGGUAAAAGCCUACCAAGGCGACGAUCCAUAGCUGGUCUGAGAGGAUGAUCAGCCACACUGGGACUGAGACACGGCCCAGACUCCUACGGGAGGCAGCAGUGGGGAAUAUUGGACAAGGGGCGAAAGCCUGAUACAGCAAUGCCGCGUGAGUGAUGAAGGCCUUAGGGUUGUAAAGCUCUUUUACCCGGGAUGAGAAUGACAGUACCGGGAGAAGAAGCUCCGGCUAACUCCGUG
rnacentral:rRNA from 1 species